AAGACACAUCUCAUGAUGCACUGUGGUAUGUUAGGUGUGACAAGGACAAAAAUGAGACAAAACCAAGAAAGCUCCUGGAGAUUUCUCUAGGGUUAUUCAGAAGGCCCCUCAUUACCUCAGGCCCACAGCUUUAUGCUAUAUGUAAUCCCUCCCAUACUUGAGGCCCCAGAUAUCAUUGGACCGCAACCUCCAGAAAUUCACACCAACAUCACCACGGCUCUGAAAAACUUCACAUUCAGACUUACUUUAUGCAGAUGCAAGAUUGUAAGAGAUAUACGGGAAGGCAGAAAGCAGACAUUAUCACAAGGCCAGUUUUUAAGGUAGAGAACACACAGAAAUGGUUUAUC